rnacentral:rRNA from 1 species
CCUACGGGAGGCUGCAGUGAGGAAUAUUGGUCAAUGGGCGGAAGCCUGAACCAGCCACGUAGCGUGCGGGAUGAAGGCCCUACGGGUCGUAAACCGCUUUUGCACGGGGAUAACCCACUCCACUUGUGGAGGUCUGCAGGUACCGUGCGAAUCAGGGCCGGCUAAUUCCGUGCCAGCAGCCGCGGUAAUCCGGAAGGCCCGAGCGUUAUCCGGAUUCAUUGGGCUUAAAGGGCGCGUAGGGGGGCGUUCAAGUCAGCUGUAAAAUCGGGCGGCAAAACCGCGCCCCGAAGUUGAAACUGGGCGGCUGGGGUUCACAACAGGCAGGCGGAAGUCGGGGUGUAGCGGUGAAAUG